rnacentral:lncRNA from 1 species
CCCCCACUACCCCGCUGCCCGCGAGGAGUCUCGCUCUGUCGCCCGAACAAAAAUAUCUGCAUAAUUGGAUUAUGGCAAGAACCAUAUGAGAUAAUUUUUGAAAAGCGCCGAAUUCAGUUGGCGAGUACACCAUAGAUGAUCAAUACAUGCAGCUUUUCUAUCUCCUUUGCAUCUGCUUGAGUUUAGGCAGAAUAAAAAGGCUGUUUAUGGAAGAAACUGCAAGCUUGCCAAAUGAGUCAAAACUCAUAAUGUUUCCUAUUAUAGCAAUCACUAGGAGCGGAACCUAAAGAAAAAGCACAGCAGAAACUCCUGAACUAUUUACCUGUCAGCAUCACGAAAAUGGGAC